AUCCUGUUGGAGUUCAUAAGCAUGAUCGUUGGGUUUUCACGUGCAUGUGUGAGAUGUGACUCCCUCAAGCCUGUUACAACAUCAACACAUUACCAGUCUGACA